AAAUUGAAUUAAUAAGCACAAAGAAGUAGGAUAGUCAGAAAUAUAUGUCACAAUAUUCCACUUUACUUUUCUUUACAAUCACAUUUUAAUUAAUCUGUCACUAAAGGUAAAUCCAUUCAGAGAAUUGGGACUUAAAUCAUACACAAGCUCUAAAAAUGUUUUAAAUCAGAAGUGAAACAUCUCUCUUGAUUAGGGAAUAGGAAU